rnacentral:rRNA from 1 species
GAUGAACGCUGGCGGCGUGCCUAAUACAUGCAAGUCGAGCGAACAGACGAGGAGCUUGCUCCUCUGACGUUAGCAGCGGACGGGUGAGUAACACGUGGAUAACCUACCUAUAAGACUGGGAUAACUUCGGGAAACCGGAGCUAAUACCGGAUAAUAUAUUGAACCGCAUGGUUCAAUAGUGAAAGACGGUUUUGCUGUCACUUAUAGAUGGAUCCGCGCCGCAUUAGCUAGUUGGUAAGGUAACGGCUUACCAAGGCAACGAUGCGUAGCCGACCUGAGAGGGUGAUCGGCCACACUGGAACUGAGACACGGUCCAGACUCCUACGGGAGGUAGCAGUAGGGAAUCUUCCGCAAUGGGCGAAAGCCUGACGGAGCAACGCCGCGUGAGUGAUGAAGGUCUUCGGAUCGUAAAACUCUGUUAUUAGGGAAGAACAAAUGUGUAAGUAACUAUGCACGUCUUGACGGUACCUAAUCAGAAAGCCACGGCUAACUACGUG